UACGGAGGGUGCGAGCGUUGUCCGGAAUCAUUGGGCGUAAAGGGCGCGUAGGUGGCCCGGUCAGUUCGUGGUGAAAGCGCGGGGCUCAACCCUGCGUCGGCCAUGAAUACUGCCGCGGCUGGAGCACUGUAGAGGCAGGCGGAAUUCCGGGUGUAGCGGUGGAAUGCGUAGAGAUCCGGAAGAACACCGGUGGCGAAGGCGGCCUGCUGGGACAGUGCUGACGCUGAGGCGCGACAGCGGUGGGGAGCAAACAGG
rnacentral:rRNA from 1 species